UACAGGAUCCAGUUUCUGGCUACCCAGUACAGGAAAGACAUGGACAUGCUGGAGUGAGCCCGACAAAGAGCUAUCAGAUGGUGCCAGACUUUUCUUGGUGGUGCAGCGGUACAGCAAGGGCUUCAACAAAAUGCAGUGGGCAUGAGCUGGAAUGGGAGAAAUUCUUAUUAGAUAGGUGGGAAAAAAUUCACCACAUGUGGUCAAAUAGUGGAGCAGACUGUUGUAGCACGAAGAGGUUGUUGGACCUUCAUCCCUGAAGAUCUUUGAAGUUCUGAUGAGCAACCUGCUCUCAGCAGCCCACAUACGAGCAGGAGUUGUGUCACAUGGCCUCUGGAGCUCCCCUCCAGCCUACACGUGUCUGUGAUUCUGCGACAAAGAACAGCUGAAUAAGCCUUCUUCAACAUCCCUGCCAGUUUUCUUGUCUUCACACCUUAAGAAGCUUUGGCAGAGGAAGAGGCGAAGUCAGCUGUUAGCAGGAGAAGUAGCAGCUCCCCCUAAGGGCCAGGCCUGCCAAGUGACAUUGGUGCAAACUUGCAGAAGUAGCUAAGGAAAAACGGGGGAGCCAGUAGGCUUGAGAAACCACGAGCAAGUGUCCAGUCUCAGAAGUUAUUGUACUGGAAACACUAAGAAAAAGCAAGCCAGCACAACUCUUCUCCACGAAAUUUUCCAUUUUUUCUAAGAAGUUUCUAAGGUUUGGCCAAAUCCACAUUUUUGUGUCGUAUCUUCGUAUGCUGCCAUAUAGAAAGAUUGACGACAAAUAGGCAGUCACUGCCCUGUGUUCCUGCGACUUACUGAGAAGCUAAACUCUGGGGAAAGUAAUCUGUACAUGUGGAAGUGUUUUUGCUUUAUGUGUGGCAGUCUUUCUGCUUGUAUUUAAACCUCUGUUAUGGAGCAGAGCCUAAAAAACUCCUGCUUGUCUGAAGACAUUUCUGUCUUCACAACAAAAAGAAGCUUUGAUGUUACAUUUUUUUCCCUGGCUUUCCCCAAGGCAUAGCUGAAAGGUAUAAUUAGCUUGUUCCAGGGGCACACAAAAGCCCUGGUACUGACAUGGCAUCUUUGAUUCCUUCUCUCUGUCUGCACUGUGCUGCUCCGGGUCAACCUCAAAGUGAUAAGGCAAAUUACCUUAGCAGCCACAACCUUAAAAAGGAAAAACCCUUAAAACAUAGCUUUUCAAGUUGGUUUUCUCUUAAAGUACUGAUUGGAAAUGAGAUGCAAUGGUGUGAAUUGGAGAUGAAAAGAUGAAAUAGGGCCAACGAAGGGAAGAUGUUAUGCCACAGCAGAAAUGCCUUACUUUGUUUUUCACCAAAUACAUCAGCAGCAAGUGUAAAAUGAUUUGAGGAGUGAGAAAGGAGCACUGCAAAAGGGCCUGUGGGCACCAGAACCUGAAAUCAUACACAGGAACAGAAGGCUAGGAUGAGAAUGCAGAUCAUUUUUAUAUCAAUGUCCUGGAAAGGGCAUAAAAUUGAUUCAUCUCAGAUUAUGCAGCAUGUUUUGGGUGAGAUUACUCCAUCCUUCAACCGCCCUUGAUAAAAGCACUUAUGCAAGUGUUAAACUCUAAGUAUGUGAAUAAUGCUGUGUCCAUUUAACAAAGAUCCCAAUGACUUCAUUUCCUUAAGACUCCUAUUAAUGUUUAGGACAUUAAUUUCCUACUGUAGGAAGUGUUGUGAGAAGUAAGAAUACUACACAGUGGACAAAACAUGGAACUCUGUGGAAGAGAGCAUGGGAGAUGGAAAAACUCGUAAAGAAAGCACUUGUCAUAUUACAUUAGCUAACUGAGCCUUCAAUAUUUAGGCUCGGUUCUUCUUUCAUGCCUUCACAUCACCGCACAGCUUGUAGGUAGGUGAUCAUAUAGAAAAGAUAUGACAAUAAACAUCAUUAAAGGAAACUCCAUCUAAAAUUACUUCAUCUAACUGGAAAUGUGAAAGGAAAACUAUGGGAAUGCCAGCUCACCCUGAAAAAGGUUAGGCACGGAAAU
ensembl:lncRNA